CUACGGACGUGUGGGCGCUGACGGUUCGUUAUUGGGAGUUAUAACGAAAAAGAUUUUAAAGUUUGAAGUUUGGGCAUUUUAUAAAUUUUAUUAUUAAAAUUUGGAUGGCCCAGAUUAAAGGAAUUUGAAAUGGAUGGUUGGGAUGAGAGAAAGAAGGUUUGUGCGUGUGUGUGCGUAAGAAGAAGAAGAAGAAUGAGGAUUGGGCAUCGGGGAAGAAGAAAGGAAAAAUAGGAUUGGGCAAAACUGCCCAAUCUGAAAGAAGAAGAAGGGGAC
rnacentral:lncRNA from 1 species